CCUACGGGCGGCAGCAGUGAGGAAUAUUGGUCAAUGGGCGAGAGCCUGAACCAGCCAAGUCGCGUGAGGGAGUACUGCCCUAUGGGUUGUAAACCUCUUUUGUCGGGGAGCAAAAGCCGGACGUGUCCGGCUGUGAGAGUACCCGAAGAAAAAGCAUCGGCUAACUCCGUGCCAGCAGCCGCGGUAAUACGGAGGAUGCGAGCGUUAUCCGGAUUUAUUGGGGUUAAAGGGUGCGCAGGCGGAUUUUUAAGUCAGCGGUCAAAUCGUGGGGCUCAACCCCAUCCAGCCGGUGAAACUGGGGAUCUAGAGUGUGCGAGAGGUAUGCGGAAUGCGUGGUGUAGCGGUGAAAUGCAUAGAUAUCACGCAGAACCCCGAUUGCGAAGGCAGCAUACCGGUGCACAACUGACGCUCAGGCACGAAAGCGUGGGUAUCGAACAGGAUUAGAUACCCUAGUAGUC
rnacentral:rRNA from 1 species